UCUUCUCUUUGUCUCCACAGCUUAGUGUUUCCUGAAAGGACAUUUUAUCUCUGUGCAAAGACGGGAGUGGAGGCAGAUGAGUGGAUCAAGAUCCUCAGGUGGAAACUGUCACAGAUAAUCAAAGGUCGGUGACAGCUGUCAGCAAAGAGCCAGGAGAUGAAGGGAAGGAACAAGGAGAGCCCCGUUAACAUGUGAAGGGUUUAGCAUCCCAAAGUGUAGGAUCACAUUAAGGCCCCGGCACCA